GUAGUUAGCCGGGGCUUUCUUACAGGGUACCGUCACUUCUUCGUCCCCUGCGACAGAGGUUUACAAUCCGAAAACCUUCUUCCCUCACGCGGCGUUGCUGGGUCAGGCUUGCGCCCAUUGCCCAAUAUUCCCCACUGCUGCCUCCCGUAGGAGUCUGGACCGUGUCUCAGUUCCAGUGUGGCCGAUCAGCCUCUCAGCUCGGCUACCCAUCGUCGGCUUGGUGGGCUGUUAUCUCACCAACUACCUAAUGGGACGCGAACCCCUCUAAAAGCGAUAAAUCUUUGACCUCUUCCCGAUGCCGGGUUGUGGUCUUAUGCGGUAUUAGCAGUUGUUUCCACCUGUUAUUCCCCACUCUUAGGCAGGUUGUUCACGCGUUACUCACCCGUGCGCCACUAGAAUUAUCAAUUCCAUCCGAAAACUUCCUUAAUAAUCCCCGUUCGACUUGCAUGUGUUAGGCACGCCGCCAGCGUUCGUCCCGAGCCAGAAUCGAACCCUGA
rnacentral:rRNA from 1 species